rnacentral:rRNA from 1 species
UGGGGAAUCUUGCACAAUGGGGGCAACCCUGAUGCAGCGACGCCGCGUGAGCGAUGAAGCCCUUCGGGGCGUAAAGCUCUUUCGACCGGAACGAUAAUGACGGUACCUGCAGAAGCAGCUGCGGCUAACUACGUGCCAGCAGCCGCGGUAAUACGUAGGCAGCGAGCGUUGUUCGGAGUUACUGGGCGUAAAGGGUGUGUAGGCGGUUCUCUAAGUUUGGUGUGAAAUCUCCCGGCUUAACCGGGAGGGUGCGCCGAAAACUGGGGACCUAGAGUGCGGGAAGGGAGAGUGGAAUUCCUGGUGUAGCGGUGAAAUGCGUAGAUAUCAGGAGGAACACCGGUGGUGUAGACGGCUCUCUGGACCGUAACUGACGCUGAGACACGAAAGCGUGGGUAGCAAACA